GGGUCAAGUCAUUCUGUUUAUUGGCACACAAAGAACCUUCUUUUAUGCAGGUUUCCCUGAGAUAGGACCACCCACAGGGUUUUACACAACAACCAAUAAUAACCGUACAUUCCAGAAACACUCCCAGCAAUUAUACACAAAAAUCCUCCCCUCUGCCUGUGAUCUAAUUAUGGUACACAAGAGAUUAACAUAAUUAUCACAGACAGUAAAAAUACAGCUUUUACCCAUACCCUGUAACUUUAAAACCAUACAUCCAAUCUUCAUACAAAUUACAUAUUUAGAAUCAAUCCAUUCAGGGGAG